UGGUCAAAAAGCUAUUGACAUGAUGAACAGUACACUAGAUAGUGUUAAUGGUGUGUUAAGUGACUUACAAGAUGCUAUUGAUAAGGGUCUUGA
rnacentral:tRNA from 1 species